CUGUAGAACCUUGAGAUUCUCUGUAACUUUAGCCAACUGUUUGAGUACAUCCCCCUGAGAGACCCUGGGCCAGAACCGCCCAGCUAAGAUGCUCCUGGCUUCCUGACCCUCAGAAACUUUAUUAGGAAGUAAUAAAUGUUUGUUGUUAGUCAGCAAUGAACAAUUCUUUCAAUAAUAUACAAGACGUUUUAUAAGAGGUCAAAGGCAUUGAUUAAAAACUGAUUAAUGGGCAGACCCAAACAAUAUGAGCAUGAAACCCAGGAGAAAGGAAUCAGAGUUGGCUGGGAAAAUUAGAUUUAGCUGUAAUGGACAAGUAGAAUGAGGCAUAACUGACUAUAUCUUCUGGAAAAAUAUAGCUACUAACAGAGAGAUAAAGAAACAGUCACUUUCAGAGCACUUUGUAUAUUAUUUAUUCUUUACAAAAAUUCUGUGGUUCUGUGAUAUACAUUGUUAUCUUCAUUUUACAGGGAAUGACACUGAAGGUCAGAAGUCGAGACACCUGCUCAGAAUCACACAGAUGGUAGAUGACAGAGCUCCAAUCAGAAAACUCGAGCCCGUCUGACUCCCAAAUUCACUGUCUUUCUGCACUUCUGUGUGCUACCGUAAAGAACAGGAAGAUGCAUUCAACCAGGGAGGUCGUAUUGGGAGAUGAAGGAGAAAAUAUCCCAUCUCUUGACGGACCUCCAGGGACAGGCAUGGAGGUGUGAGCAUGAGGACUUAAACAGCCAAAUUAUGUCGGAGGCACAGAUUCCAUUAUUCACUGGUAACCUACCCCAUCCAGCUUUCUGUGGAAAUCCUGAAAAAGGCAUUAUUUUAAAAAUUGAAUGAAUAACCGAACACAAGUGAUUUAUCCUUCCCUGCAUUGUGAUAUUUGGAACAAAACUGAAAAGGAAAAGAUGCUAUUAGGUAUUGAAUGCAUAGUGUAUACCAGGUACAAUUCUCAACAUGUCAACUGCAUCGUGAUUCAAUUUUCUCCUACAACAAUCCUAGCAAUCCUUUGCUGUGAGUAUCUUGGUUCCUAUUUUACAGAUAAAGUUUAGAGAAUUUUCAUAGUUUUCAUAGAGCUGACAAAUUGAAAAGUCAGAGUUUGAACACAUUUCUGCGUGGCUCUGAAACUUGUAAUCUUAACCACUGCACUUGUCAACAUCUGUUGAGGACGAUGUUCAUGGGGUGUGUGAUGGUUAAUUUUAUGUGACUAGGCCAUGAUACCCAGAUAUUUGGUCAAGCGCUUUUAGAUGAAAUUAACAUUUAAAUCAGUGGACAUUGAGUAAAACCAAUUACGUUCCAUAGGGUAAGUGGGCCUCAUCCUAUCAGUUGAAGGCCUUAAUAGAACAAAAACUGAAGUCCUAGAAGAAGAAGAAAUUCUGCCAACAGACGGACUUCUGACUUGAAACGCAACACUGACUGCUCCCUGAGCCUCCAGCUUGCCAGCCCACUCUGCAGAUUUUAGAUUUGCCAGCCUUUGUAAUCACAUGAAGCAAUUCCUUAAAAUAAAUCUCUCUUUCUAUAAAUACA
rnacentral:lncRNA from 1 species